UUAAGCUAAGAAGAGCGUAGGGAGAAUGCCUUGGCAUUAGGAGCCGACGAAGGACGUGAUAAGCUGCGAUAAGCUGCGGGGAUCAGCAAGUAUGAAUUGAUCCGCAGAUUUCCGAAUGGAGCAAUCCGUAUGUGUAUGCACAUACAUCAUAUACUGAAUCAAAUAGGUAUAUGAGGGGAACCGCCUGAACUGAAACAUCUAAGUAGGGCGAGGAAGAGAAAUCAACCGAGAUUCUGUGAGUAGUGGCGAGCGAAAGCGGAAGAGGCUAAACCAUAGGUAGCAAUACUUAUGGGGUUUCGGACAGCAUUUAGUAUUGAUAAUUUCUAGUUGAAACGUGUGGGAAAACGUACCGAAGAGUGUGAGAGUCACGUAAGCGAAAGAAAGAAUCAGCGAGCUGUAUCCAAAGUACCGCGGGACACGUGAAACCCCGUGGGAAGAUGGGGGGACCAUCCUCCAAGCCUAAAUACUACCUAAUGACCGAUAGCGAAUAGUACUGUGAAGGAACGGUGAAAAGAACCCCGGGAGGGGAGUGAAAAAGAACCUGAAACCCUAUGCUUACAAGCACCGAGAGCACGUCAAAGUGUGAUCGGGUACCUUUUGUAGAAUGGUCCGGCGAGUUAUUGUAUGCGGCAAGGUUAAGUGCUUAAGGCACGGAGCCGAAGCGAGAGCAAGUCUGAAUAGGGCGAAAGAGUCGUAUGCAAUAGACCCGAAACCGAGUGACCUAUCCAUGUCCAGGCUGAAGUGGAGGUAAAACUCCAUGGAGGGCCGAACACACGUCCGUUGAAAAGGCCGGUGAUGAGGUGUGGAUAGCGGAGAAAUUCCAAUCGAACUCGGAUAUAGCUGGUUCUCUCCGAAAUAGCUUUAGGGCUAGCCUCGUGAAAGAUUACUGGAGGUAAAGCACUGAAUGGGCUAGGGGUCGAAAGAUUACUGAACCCUAUCAAACUAAGAAUGCCAGAUAAUUGAUUCACGGGAGUCAGACAAUGUGAGAUAAGUCUCAUUGUCAAAAGGGAAACAGCCCAGACCCACAGCUAAGGUCCCUAAACAUUGUUAAGUGGAAAAGGAUGUGGGGUUGCAUAAACAACCAGGAUGUUGGCUUAGAAGCAGCCACUCAUUAAAAGAGUGCGUAAUAGCUCACUGGUCGAGUGACCCUGCGCCGAAAAUUCAACGGGGCUAAACAAUGUACCGAAGCUUGGGAUUCUAAAGUAAUUUAGAGUGGUAGGAGAGCGUCGAAUAAGGGGUGAAGUCAGAGCGGAAGCGCUGGUGGACUUUAUUCGAGUGAGAAUGCCGGAAUGAGUAGCGAGAAUUAUGUGAGAAUCAUAAUGGCCGAAAAUCUAAGGUUUCCUGAGGAAGGUUCGUCCGCUCAGGGUAAGCCGGGGGCUAAGGCGAGGCGGAGACGCGUAGCCGAUGCACAUACGGUUGAAAUUCCGUAGCCACCGAAAGAUUUAAGUACAGGGACGCUUUAGAAGUGAUGUAGCCGGGCGAUGGUUGACCCGGUCGUAAGGGAUCGAAAAUGAGUAGAGAAGUCAUCAUGGAAAGAGACAAGAAAAGCUGUAUGAAUAUCUUAGGUGCCCGUACCGCAAACCGACACAGGUAGAUAGGAAGAAGAUUCUAAGGCCAACGGGAGAAGGGUUGUUAAGGAACUCGGCAAGUUGACCCCGUAACUUAGGGAUAAGGGGUGCUCAAGUGAUUGAGCCGCAGAGAAUAGGCCCAGGCGACUGUUUAGCAAAAACACAGGUCUCUGCUAAAUCGAAAGAUGACGUAUAGGGGCUGACACCUGCCCGGUGCCGGAAGGUUAAGAGGAGAUGUGAGAGCAUUGAAUUGAAGCCCCGGUAAACGGCGGCCGUAACUAUAACGGUCCUAAGGUAGCGAAAUUCCUUGUCAGGU
rnacentral:rRNA from 1 species